CCUACGGGAGGCAGCAGUGGGGAAUAUUGGACAAUGGGCGAAAGCCUGAUCCAGCCAUGCCGCGUGUGUGAAGAAGGUCUUCGGAUUGUAAAGCACUUUAAGUUGGGAGGAAGGGCAGUAAGUUAAUACCUUGCUGUUUUGACGUUACCGACAGAAUAAGCACCGGCUAACUCUGUGCCAGCAGCCGCGGUA
rnacentral:rRNA from 1 species